CUUCGGCGCUCGGCGCCUACCCUCUCCUAGCCGCAGUGCUUGGCCCCCUAGCCUAGAUCAUAGCCGCAGUGUUCGGCCUACAAAUUAUCUUAACCUUACCAUGAAAUAAUUAAAUUUUGUAUUAAACUAACCCUGAAUGAAAGAACAUAAACUAGUAAAUUCAUGUUGAAUAUUAAAAGAUAUUUUAUUUGUAAAUUCAUAAUCUUCAAUUUCAGAUAAAAAUCACUUAAUAUGCUGAAGGAAAAGAUAAAAAUAGGUCUUAAGUACGCCCGAACAAUCUCAGCUUUUGAAGAUAUGAUUAAGCACAACGGAUUGAAAGCUGUAAUUUCAAGCUCUUCAAAUACAGUAGAUGUGAAUUGGUUAAAAAGAAUCAAAUGGAAUUUGCAAUUUCAAGUUACCCUCCAUUUGAAGAGUGGCAUGUGGGAUUUACAACUGCAGUACCCUUUUAAAAGCUUUAUAUGAUGAAGGAUAAAUAAGAUAUCUGCUUUUACCUCCUUGAAAAUUAAUUGGUUUUAAUUGCGAUUUUUCUACAAAAGUAACUUACGCACUUCUAAUACAGAAAUAAUUGAGAAAAUGAUCAGCAUUAAACCCUUCUCAACUCUCCAGUUAUAAAAACGAUUAUAUCUUUAAAACUUUUGCUAAGAUAAAGGGUUGAAUGGUUUUGUUGUGAAUCUCUACAUGGAGGGUCACUUUAAAUUACGACAGUUCCUUUAAAGAGUGUAUUUUUAUUUUGGAAUCAAAUUUGAAUCUCAAUUCAAUAUUUUCUUUUUCGGGAAUUCUUUAACCUCGAGAGCAUUUUUUAAAAACUAAUUUUAAUCUGUAGACAGUUAAAUCUUACGUUUAAGUUUCAGAAGUUAAAUCUAAGUACAAACCUUGAAACGUAAACUCUUUUUUUAAAUAAAUUUUCUAAAUUAGGUUCAUAUACUUAU